CGCACAUUGCGCCCUUUGGUAUUCCUUAGGGCAUGCCUGUUCGAGCGUCAUAAAACCCCCUCAAGCGCAGCUUGUUGUUGGGCGUUUGUCCCGCCACUGGCCGGACUCGCCCCGAAUCCAUUGGCGGCCCCCGCAUUGGGCUAUCGAGCGCAGCAGAAUUGCGCCUCGGGCACAGCGCGUGGGCGACCACUGAGCAACCCCCAUCCACUUUGACCUCGGAUCAGGUAGGGAUACCCGCUGAACUUAA
rnacentral:misc_RNA from 1 species